rnacentral:lncRNA from 1 species
AGCCAGACACCACAAUUCACACCAGCAACUAUCUGAUCAGAGCGAUGACGAGAACCGCAAAGCCAAAACCAGUGUGCCGUGGAAGCACCGGAAGUCCAGGGAGGGCCAAGUCCACCCAGCAUCACCACACCAAAGAGCAGCUCUUUAGAAUCCUGCUAAAGCUCAAAAACAUGAAACCACAACGAGGAUUUCUUGCGUGCUUGCUCUGGACCCAGGACUGUUCUAAGCACUCAUGGAUCCUUCCAUUUGAUCCUCACAACAGCCAUGUCUUCCUCUGCCUCUAACUGAGGCUCUGCUAUGUGCCAUGUCCCUGACCCACCAAUGCACCUCUACUAUAGUCAUCUUAGGAGAUGAUUAAUGUUAUCCCCAUUAGAGAACCCCAGAAGAAGAUUUUUUGUUUGUUUUUUGUUUUUUUGUUUUGUUUUGUUUUUUUUGAGAUAGAGUCUUGUUCUGCUGCCCAAGCUGGAGUGGCAGUGGCAUGAUCUCAGCUUAAUGCAACCUCUACCUCCCAGGUUCAAGUGAGUCUCAUGCCUCAGCCUCCCAAGUAGCUGGAAUUACAGGCGUGUGCCAUCAUACCCGGCUAGUUUUUGUAUUUUUAGUAGAGACGGGGUUUUGCCAUGUUGGCCAGGCUGGUCUCGAACUCCUAAUCUCAAGUUAUCUGCCCGCCUCAGCCUCCCAAAGUGCUGGGAUUACAGGCGUGAGCCACUGCACCCAGCCUGGGAGAGGGGUUUUGUUUCCUCGGAGCACUUGUUUCUUUUCUCAGAAAGCAAAUUUUUCUUUUCUUUUUUUUUUUUUUCUGGAGCCUUCCAGCAGACUUCAGUAGCUCAUUUUACAGAUAAAACAUGUGAAGCUCAGAGAGGGGUAAUGAUUUGACUCACAAGACCACACAGUUUUUUGUUUUGUUUUUUUUUUUUAAAUAAGGUAGAUCUAGGAUGCUAACCCAGGUGUAUUUUAUCAAAAAUAUCAAAUCAGGGUCUUUCAGCCACUCUCACACACAUACACAUAGGCACACAUACACUGCAGUGAAUGUUCCACUGCCCCAGGACAAAAGUGCUCAUUUUUUGUGGAUGUACUGCAAGGUCACUGGAGUUCUCCUUUCUCUGUCCAGCCAUAUCUGUGGCCUAGAGCAGAGGGCCAGCAACAGCUGGAUUGUGUCAAGUCUCGAGUCAGAUGACAUUUUUUGUUUGUUUGUGUUUUUUUUUUAAUCUUGAACCUUAGUUUUUUCUUCUGUCCUUGGAGAUUACAAUAUUAUUUAUCUCAGACAGCCGUUUGGAAAAUGAAACAGCUGUCUGAGAGAUAAUAGUAGAACAUUCACUAACCCAUUCAUCCAUCCAUUCACCCACCUACCUGUCGAUAGAAGCAACCAUUCUAAUAAUUGCUGAAUGUUUGCUAUAUAAUGAGUAUGACACAGGAGCAGAGAUGAAGAGACAUGAGGACAUCCUACAAGGUGCAGAGACGUGGGAGACAGUGAAAGGCUGUCAGGUUAUAUUAUUGUAUCAUCCUUUAAGAGACACUGUGGGGCCUUCUGUUCACCCCUAGCUUAGCCUUAUGACCUGGGCUGUCCUUCCCCAGAAGCUGUCUGGCCCCUUUGAGAGACAAUGUCUUCCCCUAGCCACAGGUUCAACCAAGUCAUCCAUUGGCAUCUAUACUCCAGGUCUUAAAAUUGUGGAUUAAGGGUGGCCUCACCCUUAAUCUCCUCUAUGCUAUCUCCUCUAAUCUCCCCGCUCUCUGGGAGAUAGGUCCUGUUGUUAUCUUCAUUUUACAGAUGAGGAAAUAGGUUCAGAGAGGGGAAAUGUCUUGCCCAAGGUCACACAGCUGGUGUGUGGGAUGGGUUCCCAGGCUGUUGGUUUCUUCAGCCUCUGCCAUUUCCAGUGCAUCACAUAUUCCUGUUUGAUGGGGGUCAAAGCAAAGAAGAUUCUUCCUGACUAGAGUCAGGAGAUCAGGCCCUGAUUCUGUCAUUCCCUGGCCCUCUGUCCUCAGCAAUUGAUGACAUAAAUGUUGAUUGUGUCUUUGCAAUGCACGUGGUAUCAAGGGCUUUACAUCCUUGUUCCCCACGGCAUCCACCAUGAUCUUAAGACACAUCCUAGUCCUGUCUCCACUUCAGAAAGAAAGCAAGAGGCACGUGAAUGUUGAGCCGUGUGACAGAGUCACAACUAGACCCCGAGGUCUGCUGGAUUCCAGAGACCAAGUUCUGUGCGGGUGUGUGAUUUGAACAGGUUUAUAAAAGGCACCCAACUUUUAAAAAAUCCAAAAUGUGUCCCCAAAAGAUAAAACAUUCUCUUGAAUUUCCCUCCUCAGAAACAAACCUGUCACCAAUUUUAUUGUGUCAUUCCACGAAUUUUCUAUGCGUGGAAUGUACACGU